AUCCAGUUGAUGAGUUCAAAAUAGGACGAGACAUGAGUCCUGGAU
rnacentral:hammerhead_ribozyme from 1 species